GAUGAACGCUGGCGGCGUGCCUAAUACAUGCAAGUCGAGCGAAUGGAUUAAGAGCUUGCUCUUAUGAAGUUAGCGGCGGACGGGUGAGUAACACGUGGGUAACCUGCCCAUAAGACUGGGAUAACUCCGGGAAACCGGGGCUAAUACCGGAUAAUAUUUUGAACUGCAUGGUUCAAAAUUGAAAGGCGGCUUCGGCUGUCACUUAUGGAUGGACCCGCGUCGCAUUAGCUAGUUGGUGAGGUAACGGCUCACCAAGGCAACGAUGCGUAGCCGACCGGAGAGGGUGAUCGGCCGCACUGGGACUGAGACACGGCCCAGACUCCUACGGGAGGCAGCAGUAGGGAAUCUUCCGCAAUGGACGAAAGUCUGACGGAGCAACGCCGCGUGAGUGAUGAAGGCUUUCGGGUCGUAAAACUCUGUUGUUAGGGAAGAACAAGUGCUAGUUGAAUAAGCUGGCACCUUGACGGUACCUAACCAGAAAGCCACGGCUAACUACGUGCCAGCAGCCGCGGUAA
rnacentral:rRNA from 1 species